ACUGGCUAAAUGAAGAGAAGGAAAACUUUAGUCUGAACUCUGCCAGCUCUGUCCCCACUCCCGAAGGCAGUCCCUCUUCACACUGCUAUUGGUAUAUUUCCAUGGAGCUGGUGCUCUGUCUCAGAUGGUGAUGUGACAGUUUCAGCUUAGUUCUCUGAGCUCCCAAAGCACCUCCAACCUUCACCAUUCAUCUGCUACACACCCUUGCUCUCAAACUACAUGGGUAAGCAUCUAGGAGAAAGGAUCACCUUUCCUAGUAAGAUCUCAUUACUUACAGCAAGACGGACUGUGAAGAAGACAAGCGCUGGAAGGAGUGUCCAGUGACACCAGUCACCAGUGAAACAGGGUGACUGACCCCACCGUACUUGAGCCUGUUACUGCCAAGCAGGAAUAUGGCCUGUGACACCCCUCACUACUACUGGCUGUGUGAGGGUGCCAAAUCUUUUGGCCGUCUGAGACAACCCAGAAGCUCUAACCUUUACGUGAAAUAGUCUAACAUUAAAAUAUUGGCAAGCAAGAAAGAGCCUGCCGAUAAACUGUAUUCAGCCCAUCAUUUUGUUUCUUGUCUAUAUAUGAUUAAAUGAGCAAAUCCUAUUAGUACACUGGAUGGAGAAAAACAUUUUGGAAAUUUAUUUUUGGUUAAACACUCACAUCUUUCUGUUUGGCAAUUCUCCCAAAUUCUUGUCCAAGAGCAGAGUGUUCCUUUAGCAAAGACCCUAUCUGGCCAAACAGAGAAGCCAAAGAUCCAGAAAACAGAACCAAAACAAGAAAGCACAGAAGCAGGCCUAGAAAUUCUCCUAAAGAUAUUAACCGGCACUUAAGAUCCAACAACGCUGCCCUUUGAAGCAGGCACCUGGGGACUAUGUGACACCACACGGCCCUAGCCCACCUAGAAUUGCCUUCAGCACAGGCUUUUCAUUCAGGUAAGAGGGGUGCAUGAUUUUGUACCACAUUUUGUCUAAUCUCCCAAAUCCCAUCAGCCUGUAGUCACACUCUCACUUCCUCUGCUGAAGUUUACCAUAGGAAUCACCAAGCCUGGAUGCCCUCGUCAAAAACCCAACGGGGACUGGUAGGAAGCAACAAAAACCUGACUGGAAAAGUCCAGCUUAGGACCAUCUGCUUUAAAAAUUCCAACUUCUCUACUCUCUUCCUGUUCUGUCUUCAACUUUAAAACAUGGAAUACCAACACACAAACACAUACCUUUCCUGUAGAAGAAUUCAAGAGAUUCCGGAGGAAACCAGAAUUGUUGUUGCUUACGGGUGUCAAAAUUGUGCUGUUAAACGUAUGGAGGACUGUGCUGGAUUUGCUUAAAGGUGGGAGGGGUGGAAGGCAUUUGAUUUCA